UCGUAACAAGGUUUCCGUAGGUGAACCUGCGGAAGGAUCAUUAACGAAGUAAUUAACAAUUCUUCUUAAUUCAAACCCCUGUGAACCGUCGUCCUUAGGACGCUUUAUAUACAAACUCUAGUGUUGUCUAUGUAUGUCUUUGUUUAAUCAUAACAAAAUAUAACUUUUAACAACGGAUCUCUUGGCUCUCGCAUCGAUGAAGAACGCAGCGAAAUGCGAUAAGUAAUGUGAAUUGCAGAAUUCAGUGAAUCAUCGAAUCUUUGAACGCACCUUGCGCUCUCUGGUAUUCCGGAGAGCAUGCCUGUUUGAGCGCCUUAUUAUUAUUGACCGAGCCGUCCCGGGGCGACUCUGCGCAGAUUUGGGUGUUUUGCAGGCCCUUGUGGCCAGCUCGCCUUGAAAGUAUCAGUAGAGUACUAAGACUCGAAAGAACGUAAUAAGUAUUUCGUUUGUUCUUGUCUGUGGACUCGCUUCAAACCAUCGGUCCCAACGAAAAUAUACCAAUUGCUAGGCAUCAAAUCAGGUAGGAUUACCCGCUGAACUUAAGCAUAUCAA
rnacentral:sRNA from 1 species